rnacentral:rRNA from 1 species
GUAGGGAAUAUUGCGCAAUGGACGAAAGUCUGACGCAGCGACGCCGCGUGAGUGAUGAAGGCCUUAGGGUCGUAAAGCUCUGUUGAAUGGGAAGAAAAAAAUGACGGUACCAUUCGAGGAAGGACCGGCUAACUUCGUGCCAGCAGCCGCGGUAAUACGAGGGGUCCUAGCGUUGUUCGGAAUCAUUGGGCGUAAAGGGUGUGUAGGUGGCCAUGUAAGUCAGGUGUGAAAGCCCCGGGCUCAACCCGGGAAGUGCACUUGAUACUGCGUGGCUUGAGUACCUAAGAGGGUAGUGGAAUUCCAGGUGUAGUGGUGAACUACGUAGAUAUCUGGAGGAACACCGGUGGCGAAGGCGGCUACCUGGUCGAGUACUGACACUGAGACACGAAAGCAUGGGGAUCAAACAGGAUUAGAAACCCGUGUAGUCC